AUUGAACGCUGGCGGCAGGCCUAACACAUGCAAGUCGAGCGAGCGGCGGACGGGUGAGUAAUGUUUGGGAAUCUACCAUAUGGAGGGGUGUAACUACGGGAAACUGUAGCUUAUACCGCGUACCAUAGGAUGAGCCCAAGUGGGAUUAGGUAGUUGGGGAGGAAAAGGCUCACCAAGGCGACGAUCUCUAGCUGGUCUGAGAGGAUGACCAGCCACACGGGUACUGAGACACGGCCCAGACUCCUACGGUAGGCAGCAGUGGGGAAUAUUGCACAAUGGGGGCAACCUGACGCAGCCAUGCCGCGUGAAUGAAGAAGGCCUUCGGGUUGUAAAGUUCUUUCGGUAGCGAGGCGUUAACUGCAGAAGAAGCACCGGCUAACUCCGUGCCAGCAGCCGCGGUAAUAC
rnacentral:rRNA from 1 species